rnacentral:tRNA from 2 species
GGUCUUAUGGUCUAGAGGUAUGAUUCUCGCUUAGGGAUUCACCCGAAGCACAUUUGCGAGAGGCCCCGCGUUCGAAUCGCGGUAAGACCC